GAUGAACGCUGGCGGCGUGCUUAACGCAUGCAAGUCGAACGGAAAGGCCCAAGCUUGCUUGGGUACUCGAGUGGCGAUCGGGUGAGUAACACGUGGGUGAUCUGCCCUGCACUUCGGGAUAAGCCUGGGAAACUGGGUCUACUACCGGAUAGGACCACAUUUUGGUUUGUGUGGUGGAAAUUUUUUGGGUGUGGGAUGAGCUCUCGGCCUAUCUGCUUGUUGGUGGGGUAAUGGCCUACCAAGCCGUCGAAGGGUAGACGGACUGAGAGAGUGUAAGGCCACAGUGAGACUGAGGGAAGGCACAGACGCCUACGGGAGGAAGAAGGGGGGAAGACUGCACAAGGGAAGCAAGCCGGAUGCAGAGGAGCUGCGUGGGGGAAGACGGAUUUCGGGGGGAAAAAAACAUUCGGGAGGGAAGAAGCGUUAUGUGACGGUACCCGGAGAAGAAGCACCGGCUAACUACGUG
rnacentral:rRNA from 1 species